UUAGUAGCCCCAAGAAACUGAAACCCUCUAUUGAUAUGCAAAGAACAGAUUCAGCAUGGGCAGAAGCAACACUGCUCAAUCAACGGGCCUCAAACCUGAUCUAAAAGAAUAUCUCGAAGGGGCAAGAUAUUUGUUAAAUUUCCUUUCCAAUUAACUUGACAGCUCUG
rnacentral:sRNA from 1 species